GACAGAGGGGGCAAGCGUUGCUCGGAAUUACUGGGCGUAAAGAGCUCGUAGGCGGCUUGUCGCGUCGACUGUGAAAUCCCGCGGCUCAACUGCGGGUCUGCAGUCGAUACGGGCAGGCUAGAGUUCGGUAGGGGAGACUGGAAUUCCUGGUGUAGCGGUGAAAUGCGCAGAUAUCAGGAGGAACACCGGUGGCGAAGGCGGGUCUCUGGGCCGAUACUGACGCUGAGGAGCGAAAGCGUGGGGAGCGAACAGG
rnacentral:rRNA from 1 species